AAGAGUCCACAAGACGGAUACACAAGGAUCUUCAUGGCCGGAGCUUCAUUCCACAGAAUCUCCACGUCAGAGGGUAUCGUGUAUCGAUCUAAUCACCUGUUUGUUACAUCAAGCUGCACACCUGGAACCGGAAGGAUGCUCUAUGUCCACGAGCACAUGUGGUGGAUGUCCACGCACGCAGCCGAAAAUGGACUUGAUGGAUUCGAGAAAGAGCUCACACUCAAUGGUAUCCACUGUGCUGGUAUGGCAAAGAACAGAGCAUGUUCCUGUCUUUGGUUAUCUAGCUGUAUGAGUACUAAUUAUCCAUCAUAAAGCUAGAUAACCGAAAGUAGGAAUGACCUUCAAACCUUCUCUUCCCUGCAUGAGACCAAAAAAAAGAGAAGAAAACAGAAUAACUAAAGAAACACAAGAGGAUGUAUGCGGUGUGUUCAGGAAAAGAAGCAAUGGAUGUCACUUUACCACAGAUCAUCAGCCAAGUUUUUGUACCCAUUUUAUUAGGACGACUAUAUACAUCUAUUUUUUGUACAGCCUGUCCUCAUGGGAGAGUCAACGGUGAGCUGGAGCCGAUCCCAAAGACGGCACAUAUAGAAAAGCAACCAUUUACACUCACUGAUGUUGUGACAUUUCACAGAUAAAUCCACUUUAUGUCAGCAAUUAUUGGUAGUUACUGUAUAUGAAUGUCAUAUGACUUUUUCAUACAAAUCUGUUUAAUGUAAUGUAAUCACUUGAAAAAAAAUCUGCUUUUAUAAA